AUGGAAGAAACUGGGGUUGUUAUAGAUGAUGAUCCUGUCAUGCCCAAUAAGAUGUUUAGAAGAAGCACUUCUUUGAACAUCCCUCAUGAGUUUCUAUGUCCAAUAACACUUGAAAUCAUGACAAAUCCUGUUAUUGUUGCAAUUGAACAGGGAAAGCAUAGAGAAGUGAUUCAAAUCCAAUCACAACUCUUUUCCAAAGACAGGGAAACCACUUGA